UGUAUGAAGCAAUCUUGGCUGAAUGCGAUGGCUCCCAGUGCAGGGAGGGCUCGGUGCUGCUGCGGUAUGGAAGACUGCCGCUUGCCUGCCCUUCUCUCUCUCGUCUCGGCUCAAAGGAGCACGGUUUGAGAGUCUUACCUGGCUCUCUCCAGCUAAACAGUCUACAGGACCCUAAAGAUGUAGAGGGAAGGAUUUAGAUGAACGGCUGUGCAAUGAUUCAUCCCCAGGCACCCAAUCCAUUAUCCUGUCAACAACAGCAGGUCCCUGCCACAGUUAGCAGCAACAUUGGCCAUAAUGAAAUCAUCAGUAAUCCCAAAACUCAUCUCAUCAUACCCAAGGUAAUUAAUGAAUUUGGAGGGCGAUGGCUAACUCUUAAUUAAAUUAUGCUUCUUUUAAUGAGGCCUUUUUGUAGGGUAAAUUUAUGGCCAGUAUCUCCAUUAUCAAGUGCUCGGCGCUCAACAGAGAUUCGUCAUUUUCACCUCAAAUCACUCGCAGAUUAACGUAAUGAAGCCCAUGAUUAAUAUAUCAAUUUAUACUUGUUUGUUUCUUUCCUCCAGAUUUAAUGAAUUACCCGGCGUAAUUAGUUCUUCAGGAUUUUGCCACAGCCAAAACCUCAG
ensembl:lncRNA